ensembl:snoRNA U3 Small nucleolar RNA U3
AAGGCUAUACUUUGAGGGGUCAUUCCUAUAAUUUGUUACUAGAGAAGUUUCUCUAACUGGAGAGAACCAGAAACCACGAGGAGGAGGCGCCACGUUCCCUCCUGAGGGUGAAGCUGGCUCUUGGUGUUGCUUUGCUGUGACUGCACUUGCCAGUGACGAUCGGUCCUGCUCUCCUCCCGGGAGCUGCAGGCAGAGGACGCAGUCUGAGUGGC